UGGCUCAGAUGGUAAAGCAUCUGUCUGCAAUGCAGGAGACCCGGGUUCGAUCCCUGG
rfam:TPA: Bos taurus chromosome 12, whole genome shotgun sequence.